CGGGGUGUAGUCUAACGGUAGGACACUACCUUGGGGUGGUAGCAACCCGGGUUCAACUCCCGGCACCCCGA
rnacentral:tRNA from 1 species